rnacentral:rRNA from 1 species
CUCUUAAGAUUGAGCUGUGAUGGGGAGAGGAACUUGUUCCUCGAGUCGUUGAUUUCACACUGCCGAGAAAAGCCUCUAGCUAGAAUAACGGUGCCCGUACCGCAAACCGACACAGGUAGUCAAGAUGAGAAUUCUAAGGUGAGCGAGCGAACUCUCGUUAAGGAACUCGGCAAAAUGACCCCGUAACUUCGGGAGAAGGGGUGCUCUUUGAGGUUCACGCUUCGAAGAGCCGCAGUGAAUAGGCCCAAGCGACUGUUUAUCAAAAACACAGGUCUCUGCUAAACCGUAAGGUGACGUAUAGGGGCUGACGCCUGCCCGGUGCUGGAAGGUUAAGAGGAGUGGUUAGCGCAAGCGAAGCUACGAAUCGAAGCCCCAGUAAACGGCGGCCGUAACUAUAACGGUCCUAAGGUAGCGAAAUUCCUUGUCGGGUAAGUUCCGACCCGCACGAAAGGCGUAACGAUUUGGGCACUGUCUCAACGAGAGACUCGGUGAAAUCAUAGUACCGGUGAAGAUGCCGGUUACCCGCGACAGGACGGAAAGACCCCGUGGAGCUUUACUGUAGCCUGAUAUUGAAAUUCGGUACAGUUUGUACAGGAUAGGUAGGAGCCUUAGAAGCGUGAGCGCUAGCUUACGUGGAGGCAUUGGUGGGAUACUACCCUAAUUGUAUUGGAUUUCUAACCCGCAGCACUUAUCGUGCUGGGAGACAGUGUCAGGCGGGCAGUUUGACUGGGGCGGUCGCCUCCUAAAGAGUAACGGAGGCGCUCAAAGGUUCCCUCAGAAUGGUUGGAAAUCAUUCAUAGAGUGUAAAGGCAUAAGGGAGCUUGACUGCGAGACCUACAAGUCGAGCAGGGUCGAAAGACGGACUUAGUGAUCCGGUGGUUCCGCAUGGAAGGGCCAUCGCUCAACGGAUAAAAGCUACCCCGGGGAUAACAGGCUUAUCUCCCCCAAGAGUUCACAUCGACGGGGAGGUUUGGCACCUCGAUGUCGGCUCAUCGCAUCCUGGGGCUGUAGUCGGUCCCAAGGGUUGGGCUGUUCGCCCAUUAAAGCGGUACGCGAGCUGGGUUCAGAACGUCGUGAGACAGUUCGGUCCCUAUCCGUCGUGGGCGUAGGAAAUUUGAGAGGAGCUGUCCUUAGUACGAGAGGACCGGGAUGGACAUACCUCUGGUGUACCAGUUGUCGUGCCAACGGCAUAGCUGGGUAGCUAUGUAUGGACGGGAUAAGUGCUGAAAGCAUCUAAGCAUGAAGCCCCCCUCGAGAUGAGAUUUCCCAACUUCGGUUAUAAGAUCCCUCAAAGAUGAUGAGGUGAAUAGGUUCGAGGUGGAAGCGUAGCGAUACGUGGAGCUGACGAAUACUAAUCGAUCGAAGACUUAAUCAAUAU